GCGGGGUGGGUGCCCACACCCCUCUCUCCUCCCCGCUCCUCCAUUCCUCAUCAAUACAGCCACGCGCCACCACCCUCCUACAGUCCUCCCCCCACCCCGCAGCCAGGAGGUGAGUGCUCGUCGUGAGGAAGCCACAGGAGGAGCUCAACCGGGCGUCGCCGGCCAGAGAAGGAGGAGAGGUGCGGAUGCCAGCCAGGGAGGCAGAUCGGGUCGCCUCCAUCGUCAAUACAGCCGCCGCGCCACCACCCACCUCUGUUCAUGAGGAAGCCUCAGGAGGAGGCGAGCCCUCAUUGCGAGGAAGCCGCAGAAGGAGGAACUCAACUGUGUGUCGCCGGCCGGAGAAGGAGGAGGGGCGCGGAUGCCAACCAGGGAGGCGUAUCGACUCGCCUUCGCGGUUGGAAAGGGUGCGCUGGUAAGUUUGGCUUGUUCUCAUAUCUCAGCGAGUCAUGUAUUUUGUAUGGAUCUAUCCUGCUGGGAUUAGUUGUAAACUUCUUUGCUGAACCCUACUGGGAGCAACGCAUCCCUAGUUUGCUUCCAGAGCAUAAGGCAUGGGAAGAAGUUAACUUGCUUGUUCUUCAUUGAUUCCUAAAUAAAUAUCUAAUCUAUAAUAUUUUGUUAUAUCUGUGCUCAGUUACAAUUACAGCAUGGGGCUGCAAGUGUCUAUUACCGCGGAACACUAAUAUUUGCUAUGUCCGUGCAUUUUAGUUAUGACUAACUGCCACACCAAUGAAUGUGAAUGUCUGUUCAGGAAAUAAGUAUCGCAAUUAGCAAUUUCGGUUUGUCCCCAUAGUCUAUGUGUGUCCCAUGUCCUUCCAGUACCUUCUGCUCUUGUCCUGUAUUUUUCUUCCCUUCUGCUGCAGAUUAAGUGACUGAAAGCAAACAAAUAAUUAUGUUGGACUAUUCAAAUUAUCAAGUACAGUAUGCUGCAGCAUAUCAGCUUCUUAAACAACUAGUAAGUAUGCACGUGCAACGCACGUAUAAUCAUAGAAAAAAAAUUCUCAGUCACCCUAGUUAGGCCAUAAUUAUGCCAAUAAAAUGAAUGAGUGCAAUAAUGUAGCUCAAAUCUUAAUUUAAACUAAAUAUAGCUUUGGAGAUAUAGUUCUUCUCAUAUGAGCAACAUAUCUCGUAUCAAACAUGCACACACAAUGGACUUCUAAACCCUGAAUACACAAAAUGCGUAGUCAAUUUUGUCCCGCGGGGCAUAUUUCACCUAGUCUCAUAACUCCAUUCUUUAUAAAAGCGACAAACCAUGUGUAUUUAAGUUCAAUAUAUAAUCAUUAUUCUUCUUAUAUCUUAAGCCUAAUCAUAUCUUAUUUAAUGUUAUGCACCUUCAAUGUAAACCACUAAAUUAGACACCCGUCAAAGCAUCAAUAAAUGGGACGCACAAUUAACCUUGAAAAGAUGCAUCACCAUGUAUCACAAGCUAUACAUACAACUUGUGCUACAAUGAGUUUGUGUAAAAAGUAACCACAACAAUCGUGAGGCUCCCCAUGCGCUACAAUCCACAAGUCACCUCAAGUCCUUAUUAGGUAGAAAAUGUACAUUAACAAAAUCAAAAUUAAAAUAGAAGAAUCGGAAGUAGCCUUCAACAAGGUGAGACCUUGUACCUACUGCACAAACAGGAGAGGUAAAUCUAAAAGAAAAAUUGUCUAACACAUUAGACCAUAAGAAACAAGGGAUAAAUAUGGAAGUAGCCUCAAACAUUUUUAUCCAUUGGAAAUGGAAUAGAAUAUUAAACCUAACAGCAGAAAAAAUGUUCUGAAAUACUUAUUAUAGCAUUUAUUUAGAAUAAAUUAAUUUCAUUCUUGCAGCGGUGCACACUGCAAUAGAGGCCACAAGAAAAGAAAUAUCCAGGGAACACUGAGAUAAGAUUAACCUCUGCAACAUAGUAGAUGCCUAAUUUGACUUCAAUUUAUAUGGCGCUUGUCAGUGAAAUAUCAUUUGGGAUAAUUUAUUAUACCGGUACAUGAUUCCCCUGCAACCGCACAAGAACAACAUAGGUUUAUUAUCCUGGGCAAAAAGUCGCACCAGGAUCAAGUCUGUAUCAAGUGUAGUCAGAUAUCCAAAGAUCUAGUUCUAUACAAAUAAAAUAUAUAAACAAGGUAUGCUCUCCAAAUGACAUGUACUUGAUUCUAAAAAGGGAAUCAAAUAUUUAGAACAUAACGUAUGUAUUUUCUUCUAGCUACACACCAUUACUUUCGACUUAAAAAGAAUCAUACCAAUUGGCUACAUAUAGUAUGACAGAACAUAAAUCUAUCCUAAAAUGAUACCAUGAUUCCAAAUAAUGCACAAUGAACCUGUUAACUAACAUUUUAAUAUGGUUUGAAAAUUGUGCAAUUGAAUAAGGAUAAGUUAGUCUUAAAGCCCGUAAAAAAUUCAAAAGUGAAUUAACCUGCAAGAUAUGUUUGGCCAUCGCACUAUAGGUGACCCCCCCCCCCCCCGCCCCGACUCGAGCAUGAGCAUGGCGAAUUGGUGCAGACUCGCCCUUGAGCCAGAAAAAACGGCAUUCAGUUUCAGUAAGGACAUAGAUGAUUAAUGGAGGAUCAAAUACUCAUCUCAAUGCUUUUUUGGCAUGACCGACAUGGAAGGAAAAGAGCAUUGCUACCGAGGAUCAAAUAUUAGCAAUGUAAGCCGCAAAUUCCAGGAAAAGAAAAAGAAUUCAGUGACCCCCACAGAAUAUAUACUAAUUCUGAGAGAUAGUGAAUUCGAAUUUCUACAACCUACCAAAUUUAACUAUUUAAGCAUGAGGUCACAAUCAAGAAAUAUGAUGCUAGUCAACUAAAAAGAUUAAAUUCAGAAUUGUGAGACUAUAGUGCAAAAAAAUAAUAAGCAGUACAUGACAACUGUCAAAGCAACAUCCCAAUAACUUGAAAGAAAAUUGGAUAUGUUAAAAUCAUGUGCGGACACCAAUAACUUGAAAGGUUAAAUCAUGAAACUGAACUAUACAUUCAGAAUCCAAGACAUGUAAAUAAACUGCACUGGAUAGUACAGACCUCUUAAAAGAUGGGUGUUGAUCUGCAGAGUAUGUGUACAUUCAGUACAAAGGCUCGUGGCUUUGUUUUGUCUGCAUCUCUGUUAGCAAGUGCAGACCCAAGAUCAAGUGUUACAGAAAUAAUCUCUCGUGUUAUAUCAGUGCCUUCUCUAAUCAAAGCAAUCACACCUGCAAGAACUUUAGCAGUCAGCAUGUUUGUUUGUCGUUACACUGAAUAUACCGAAACAGUAGGCAUAAAAAUCAACUUUGAAAGGAUAAUUUACUCACUUCAGUAGCUAUCAUCCUUAAUCACAAAUGAAGUCCAACUGCUGCUACCCGGAAGAUAGCUUUCCCAUACAUAAAGUACGAAUGCGGACGAAGAAAGCUCCCGGUGCCAGAUCUUGAGGUCCCUUACGCUAGGAAAGAGAAGAGCAGACAGUCGGCACAACGCCACCAUAUCCUUUUUCUGUCAAGAUCUUUGAAGCUACGGGGCGGAGUGAGAUCAAGGCCUGCAAAAGUUUUCAGGGUCAGAUGGGAUCAAGAAGGGAGACGAUGGGGAGCACGGUUGGAGGUAGGAGAUGGCCAGCAUGUUGGGUAUGCAGUCGGAGGAGAUAACCUGUACCAGCAUCGAUGAGGCGAAGCGAAGGACGGAGGCGAUGCCGGGAUGCCCCGGCCCGAUGCGCCUGGUGCGUCGUCCCUCCGGCAAAGGCCGCUUGGAGAUGUGCGCUCUUGGGGCAGGAGGGAGCAGCAACGUCGCAUGGGUAGGAGGGGCGGGCGGUCUCGCCUCGGCUGGCGGCGGCGCAAGCACGGCCGCGGCUGGCUCAGGGGAUGCGGCGGCGCAGGCGCCGGGGCAGUGCAGACGUGGGCGCGGCCGAACGGGUGCCAGUGCAGGCUCUAUCUCCUGGAUAUGACAGGACCGAUGCCACGCUGUGAGGGGCAACAAUCGGCGAUGGCGAUCAUGCGCAGAGGCGACGGAGCGGUGCAGUGCGGCGAGGUCGUCAUGCAUGGAGGAGACGUUGUUGGUGGGCGGCGUCUGGCACGAGGUUGCCGCCGUGACAGACGGUGAGGUCAAGGUUUAGGGCGUGGAAUUUCCUUGGUUUGCUAUCGGACUUCCGUGAUUGUAGGGACCGGUUGUUUUAGUACUAUUCCCCUGGUGAAGCACGGUCAGUCAACAAAAAAUGCUAAGUGCACACCAUAAAAAGGUUAGAUUAAUUAUGGCUGUUAGAUUGAGAAUUGUGGGCCUAAUCGUGUGGUGUUGAUUGGUUUAUAUGAUGUUGUGGGACUAAUUGCGGGGUGCACCUAAGAAAGUUCUUGUUUGAUUGUUUAAUAGUAGUGUAGACUAGUUAUGCUGGACUAUUCAGAUUAUCAAGUACAGUAUACUGCAGCAUAUCAGCUUCUUAAAUUUAUGUUGCAGCCUAGCAUAUACCAGCAUAAAAAAGUUACUUUUGCUCAUUGUGUAGAUUAUGUUCCUCUAAAAACAUGUGUGCCAUUUUCAGGUAUUAAUAGUGUGGUACUACAUGAAGUCAACAUGUUAGCAUAUUUGGUACUACUAUUAUUUGCUCUGUAAUUUGUGAGCACUUAUGUUUUUGCUGCAGUACAGACUCGACAUCUAUUUGUCUUGAUACAAACUAAUGUUCUAAUGAAGUGUGAUAAAUUUAAUAAUAAGAAGAUAUUGCAGAGAUUAGCACAAUGUUUUCCUGCAUUUUUUCCACCUAAAAUCCUCCUUCAACACAAUGAUUUUAUUGUGUUAGUGUCUUUCAAAUCUCAACUUUGUACAUGUAGUGUCCAUCUUGGUUCUGGUGAAUUGAUUUGGGGAACUCUUGAAAUCUGUUUCUUGUAUAUUGGCCAUGGUAAUUCUUCACCUGACAUUCUGCAAUGGCUUCCAACCAGGUAAUUAGUUCACAUGGGCUGCCAUUUCCCAUCCCUUCCUACUUUAAUACAUAUGCUUAGGCCAAUUGAUUGCUUAUUCUAGGUUUGUUAGUUUGUGUAUCAUUCAUGCCAUGGUACUUUUUGUUGCUCUCUGUGUUAGGUUACUUAGAACAGUAUAGUCAAAUGCGAAAAAAUAUAAUCAGGUUGGGAAAAGUGGAAAGUGUCCAUUUAUUAGGAACUAACUAAUUAUUCUUAUGAUGCAUUUUCGCGUACCAUGCUGCAAUGCUGCAUUAGUUUUUGGCCGAAACUUCUUGCUUAGAUAUGGCCAUUUUAUUUUUGCUACACCAUGGUUAGUUAGCUGAGCUAUUUAAAUACAAUUUUAGGGUUUUCUUGUUGCUGCUAUUCCUCAUGGAUAUUCAACAGGUAACUUCGCACCUAAUGUCAAUAGGAUGCUUAUCGGUGACGAGGGAAAUGAAAGAAGGAUGCAAUGGAAUUUGUACUAGAAGUUUCUCCAUGAUGGCACAUUCCACCUAGAAAGAGCAUCAAGGCCGACGACCCUGUUUUUGUUCUAUAGGCAUCUCUUCUACGAAUGAAGCUCCAGCCUAAGCAAGGGCAUGGUUUGUAGAUUAUUUAUCUGCUUUAUGUGUGUCAGAAGAGGCAGCCUAUUGCUUGAUUUUGUACGCUUGUUCUGUAAACUAAACUUAGCAAUGAAGCAUUGACAAUUGUGUUUGUUGUCAUCUCCCAGGUUUUGAGAGCUGAUGAUGAUUCUAUUAAAAGUCCCUUGUUGCCUGGAACAUUUAUGUCUCUGCAAACAACAUAACUAAGGUUAUAUGGUUUCCAAUGUGACUAAAGAUCUAAAUUCUUGUUGGGUGUAGUUUCUAAAGCACGGAGUUGCUGAAAAAUGGAAAGAUUUUCAACGGGCCAUGAUUUUCAUUGGGACUUUGUGCUACCAAAUUAUGUGUAUAUACAUCUCAUUGUACAUAACAAUCCACUAUUUUUUGCUGCUAAAGGGGAUUAGAUUUGUUACCA